AGCUCCCUUCUCUCUCUUCCGUUCCAGUCAGCUUCCCUGUCAGUUCCACUGCAAGAGCCGUGGGGUCAGAGCGUUGCCACUCACACCGCGAGACUUACAAUGGAGCUGACAGGGGAGCUGACCGGAACGAAGGAGAGAGAAGGGAGC